rnacentral:rRNA from 1 species
GGACUACAAGUGAAAAUCUUAAAACUUAAAGGACUUGACGGUGUCCCAUAUCGCCCUAGAGGAGCCUGUCCUAUAAUCGAUAAUCCCCGUUCCACCUAACCUCAACUAGUAAACAUAACAGCCUAUAUACCGCCGUCGACAGCCUACCCUAUGAAGGUCAAAUAGUAGACACAACAGCCCCCCGCUAGCACGUCAGGUCAAGGUGUAGCAAAUGUUGAGGAAGAGAUUGGCUACAUUUUUUAUUAUAAAAAAUACGAAAUGUUCUAUGAAAUAGAACAUGAAGGUGAAUUUAGUAGUAAAAUAAACAAGAGUGUUUAUUUUAACAACGCUCUGGGACGCGUACACACCCC